rnacentral:misc_RNA from 1 species
GCACGAACGUCUACUUCUCCUUGAUCAUGCAUCCUGAAGCCUCCACUAGGUUGCUUCAUCUGCAGCAAAAACGUGUAUAGUUUAUGUCUAUUAAUUGACGACAAAGCUUCAUGACUCCCCAAUGUGACAAGUGAGUUCACUGCAGCAUAAGUUGUUGCUAGGUGAGGUAACUGUCCAGGUCCACCUCCAUAUCCACCACCUGGAUCUUGACAACGAUUAAGAAAGUCAAUGGCCCUAGCCUCCAGUUCAGCAUCUACAGAGUCUCCCAGUAAAGCAAUAGAAUGCAGGAUCCAAUAGCAAAUCCACGGGCGAUUGGCAUCCAAUACGCGAAAUGAGGGUCCUAGAUGAUUGAGACCAUUAGUAAGAUAUUCGAUAUGAUUUUCACGCUGAAGCUCCAACAUGAACUCUUGAGCGCUGCGAGGAGCCCGGAGGAAAAAAUCGUAUAUCCGAGCA